GACGAACGCUGACGGCGUGCUUUAGACAUGCAAGUCGAACGAGAAAGCCCUUCGGGGUGAGUAAAGUGGCGAACGGGUGAGUAACACGUGGGCAAUCUGCCCUUCGUUGGGGGACAACCGGGGGAAACCCCGGCUAAUACCCCGUAAGCUUGUCGGGUCGCAUGGCCUGACAAGGAGAGGUAGCUUCGGCCAUCCGGCGUAGGAGGAGCCCGCGGUACAUUAGCUAGUUGGGGAGGUAAAGGCUCACCAAGGCUACGAUGUAUAGCUGGUCUGAGAGGAUGAUCAGCCACACUGGGACUGAGACACGGCCCAGACUCCUACGGGAGGCAGCAGUCGGGAAUCUUGCACAAUGGGCGAAAGCCUGAUGCAGCAACGCCGUGUGAGCGACGAAGGCCCUAGGGUCGUAAAGCUCUGUUGUUAGGGACGAAGGGCGAAGGGUUAAUAGCCCUUAGCCUGACGGUACCUUUCGAGGAAGCCCCGGCUAACUACGUGCCAGCCGCCGCAGUAAAAC
rnacentral:rRNA from 1 species